CAGGAACGGGUUCCAAAUUGCGGACCUUUGGUACGUGGAGCAGAGGAGAGAGUGUGCAGUGAAGCAGAGCUUCUUCCUCUCAAUCAACUUUUUACAGGAACGGGUUCCAAAUUGCGGACCUUUGGUACGUGGAGCAGAGGAGAGAGUGUGCAGUGAAGCAGAGCUUCUUCCUCUCAAUCAUGCUUAGUCCGAUAUACCACAGAUCUUGUUACAGAAAAUCUUUUUAUUUUUGUAUUUUUCUUGUUCUUCUAAUUUUUGUCUUUCUAUUAAUUUUAAUUCAGAGUAUCUAUGCCAAAGUAAAUCUACUUUUGCUUGUCUU
rnacentral:lncRNA from 1 species